AUACGGAGGGUGCAAGCGUUGUCCGGAAUCAUUGGGCGUAAAGAGUUCGUAGGUGGUAUGUUAAGUCUGGUGUUAAAGCCCGAAGCUCAACUUCGGUAGGGCACUGGAUACUGGCAAACUUGAAUGUGGUAGAGGUAAAGGGAAUUCCUGGUGUAGCGGUGAAAUGCGUAGAUAUCAGGAGGAACAUCGGUGGCGAAAGCGCUUUACUGGGCCAUAAUUGACACUGAGGAACGAAAGCCGGGGUAGC
rnacentral:rRNA from 1 species